UACGGGGGGGGCUAGCGUUGUUCGGAAUUACUGGGCGUAAAGGGCGCGUAGGCGGUCUACUAAGUUGGAUGUGAAAACUCUGGGCUUAACCCAGAGCCUGCAUUCAAAACUGAUAGGCUAGAGUUCUGGAGGGGAUAGCGGAAUUCCUGGUGUAGCGGUGAAAUGCGUAGAUAUCAGGAGGAACACCGGUGGCGAAGGCGGCUAUCUGGACAGAAACUGACGCUGAGGCACGAAAGCGUGGGGAGCGAACAGG
rnacentral:rRNA from 1 species